rnacentral:lncRNA from 1 species
UUGGUACCUGGCCACCAGGGAAUCCGGACUGUGACUCAGUACCUCUUUGCAUUGGUGGAGGGCAGCUGUCUCCCCAGGCCCGGCCAAAUGUCUUCCCCACCAAGUGUGAGGAAUGCUGAAAAGUGGAGGUAGCGUGGAGGCAGCCCGGGGUAAUACUGAUACUUUACCCCAAUUCUGGUGAUCUGACCUCACUCAUCUCACCUUAAUCCUGGCCCAGCAUCACCCCCGAUUUGCAGAAAUUGAGGCUUGGGAGGCUUCCUUUGCUCUACCUUGUACUUCAGGGCCUUCUAACUGCCUUCCUCCUACUCUGGAUGUCGCUCUGAGGGCCUCUGUUCAUCCAUCCCUCACAGGAAGGACAAGAAAAGGGACAGUAAAGGGCAAGAAAACAGGGGCAGCUGGCCAUUUCUGCUGUGACCUUCGUUACUGUUUAACAUGCAUUAAGAACCUGCAGUGUAUUUUGAAAUCGAAAAGUACCAGGAAGCGUCUUGUAAAGUUAGCUCUGUAGUCUUUUGGGGGUACCUGGCUGUACUUCAGAGAGAAAUCAGACAAAGCAAAGACAAGACCAUUGUCCAUGACCCUAGAUGGGAAGAAAAGAGAGAACUGGAUACCAGAAAAGAACACGUGGGUGCUUGAAAGAGAUCGCCGGGCAGACGGAAGGA